AGCCAUGUGGUGAGCUCAAAACGAACUAUUCUUUCUUUUUUUACUAAAGAACACCGUGUGCUCUCCAUGCCAAGUGGCAUACUCCUAUUUUUAGAGGGUUCUGUCUUAAAGUGGGAU
rfam:Brassica napus, WGS project CCCW01000000 data, contig: 20229